rnacentral:rRNA from 1 species
AAUAGGUCGGACACCUCUUCCAUUCUCCUUCGCUUUUUCUCUUUCGUUCGCACUCAGUACAAUGUAAUCAUUAAGGCCCUCCAAUGCGACAACGGCGGCGAGUUCAUCAACUCUACUUUGCGGUCCUUCUUCUCAACCAACGGCAUCACCUACCGCUUCUCUUGCCCUCACACUUCGCCACAAAAUGGAAAGGCCGAACGCUUAAUCCGCACCACAAAUGACAUUUUCUGUACUCUCCUUCUACAAGCUCAUUUACCUCCACCCUUUUGCGUCGAAGCCCUACACACAACCACCUACCUCUUAAACCGCAGACCUUCCUGAGCCAUUCAUGACCAAACUCCUUAUUACAUGCUUCAUGGCAUUCCCCCAACUUACGACCACCUACGCGUGUUUGGCUGUCUUUGUUUUCCUAAUCUCUAUGCCACCUCCUCUCACAAGCCUGCUCCAUGCUCCACGCACUGCGCCUUUCUAGGUUACCCACUUGAGCACAAAGGCUAUAGAUGCUACAACCUCACAUCGCGUCGAGUCAUCAUGUCUCGUCACGUCGUUUUUGACGAGAGCAUUUUC